rnacentral:rRNA from 1 species
AAAGGAACGCCUUGAAGUAAAGGGUACAAGGGCUGUCCCUGACUUUUCGUCGUGCACGCCCUGAGUGCUCUCACAUACAAAUAUCCAUCUCACCCCUUUGUGCAUCACCGCGUGUGUCCCCCCUUCCUCGGAAGGGGGUGCUCACGUUUUUAACAUCCCCCGUAGAAUGUUCCUUGCGCGAUCACGCGCGAAUCAAUACAACUUUCAACAACGGAUCUCUUGGCUCUCGCAUCGAUGAAGAACGCAGCGAAAUGCGAUACGUAAUGUGAAUUGCAGAAUUCAGUGAAUCAUCGAAUCUUUGAACGCACCUUGCGCCCCUUGGCAUUCCGAGGGGCACACCCGUUUGAGUGUCGUGAACAUCCUCAACCUGCUUCGUUCUAUCGAACCAAGUAGGCUUGGAAUUUGGAGGUUUUUCUGCUGGCUUCCUCUGAAGCCCAGCUCCUCUUAAAUCUAUCAGUGGGAUCCGCUUUGCUAGAUCCUCGACGUUGAUAAGAUGUUUCUACGUCUUGGGUUUCGCUCGGGAAGGACCUGCUUCUAACCGUCCCCAUCGGGGACAAUGUUCGAGAGCCGAUCGCCCUUCACGGGGUGGGAAGCUUUUCGACCCAUGAAACCUUGACCUCAAAUCGGGUGAGACUACCCGCUGAACUUAAGCAUAUCAAUAAGCGGAGGAAAAGAAAACUAACAAAGGAUUCCCCUAGUAACUGCGAGUGAAGCGGGAAAAGCUCAAAUUUAAAAUCUGGUGGUCUUUUGGCCAUCCCGAGUUGUAAUUAAGAGAAGCGUCUUCCGCGCUGGACCGUACACAAGUCUCCUGGAACGGAGCGUCAUAGAGGGUGAGACUCCCGUCUUUGGUACGGACCCCCAGGGCUUCUGUGAUCCUCUCUAGAAGAGUCGAGUUGUUUGAAAAUACACCUCAAAAUGGGUGGUCAACUCCAUCUAAAGCUAAAUAUGCGCGAGAGACCGAUAGCC